rnacentral:rRNA from 1 species
AUUGAACGCUGGCGGCAGGCUUAACACAUGCAAGUCGAGCGGGGUGAUGGUGCUUGCACUAUCACUUAGCGGCGGACGGGUGAGUAAUGCUUAGGAAUCUGCCUAUUAGUGGGGGACAACAUCUCGAAAGGGAUGCUAAUACCGCAUACGUCCUACGGGAGAAAGCAGGGGAUCACUUGUGACCUUGCGCUAAUAGAUGAGCCUAAGUCGGAUUAGCUAGUUGGUGGGGUAAAGGCCUACCAAGGCGACGAUCUGUAGCGGGUCUGAGGGGAGGCUCCGCCACGAUGGGACUGAGCCACGGCCCAGACUCCUACGGGAGGCAGCAGUGGGGAAUAUUGGACAAUGGGCGCAAGCCUGAUCCAGCCAUGCCGCGUGUGUGAAGAAGGCCUUAUGGUUGUAAAGCACUUUAAGCGAGGAGGAGGCUACUUUAGUUAAUACCUAGAGAUAGUGGACGUUACUCGCAGAAUAAGCACCGGCUAACUCUGUGCCAGCAGCCGCAGUAA